rnacentral:rRNA from 1 species
CCUACGGGAGGCAGCAGUGAGGAAUAUUGGUCAAUGGACGAGAGUCUGAACCAGCCAAGUAGCGUGAAGGAUGACUGCCCUAUGGGUUGUAAACUUCUUUUAUAUGGGAAUAAAAUGUUCCACGUGUGGGAUUUUGUAUGUACCAUAUGAAUAAGGAUCGGCUAACUCCGUGCCAGCAGCAGCGGUAAUACGGAGGAUACGAGCGUUAUCCGGAUUUAUUGGGGUUAAAGGGAGCGUAGGUGGAUUGUUAAGUCAGUUGUGAAAGUUUGCGGCUCAACCGUAAAAUUGCAGUUGAAACUGGCAGUCUUGAGUACAGUAGAGGUGGGCGGAAUUCGUGGUGUAGCGGUGAAAUGCUUAGAUAUCACGAAGAACUCCGAUUGCGAAGGCAGUUCACUGGACUGCAACUGACACUGAGGCUCGAAAGUGUGUGUAUCAAACAGGAGUAGAUACCCGGGUAGUC